AAAUCCGCUGGGCUUAGCCGAGGCGUGAUGACGCAAGGUCCUUCGGGAUCCCAAGUUGCUGAGACCCCGCCUCCAGGAAAAGCCUCUAAGCUUCAGUUGCAUGAAGACCGUACCGCAAACCGACACAGGUGGGCAGGAUGAAGAUUCUAAGGCGCUUGAGAGAACUCAGGAGAAGGAACUCGGCAAAUUAGCACCGUAACUUCGGGAGAAGGUGCGCCCCGGUAGUGUGUAGCGGCUUGCCCGUGAAGCACGAUGGGGUUGCAGUGAAUUGGUGGCUGCGACUGUUUAAUAAAAACACAGCACUCUGCAAACACGAAAGUGGACGUAUAGGGUGUGACGCCUGCCCGGUGCCGGAAGGUUAAGUGAUGGGGUGCAAGCUCUUGAUCGAAGCCCCGGUAAACGGCGGCCGUAACAAUAACGGUCCUAAGGUAGCGAAAUUCCUUGUCGGGUAAGUUCCGACCUGCACGAAUGGCGUAACGAUGGCCACACUGUCUCCUCCUGAGACUCAGCGAAGUUGAAGUGUUUGUGAAGAUGCAAUCUACCCGCUGCUAGACGGAAAGACCCCAUGCACCUUUACUGUAGCUUUGCAUUGGACUUUGAUGAGACUUGUGUAGGAUAGGUGGGAGGCUUUGAAGGCGGGAUGCUAGUCCCGCUGGAGCCGUCCUUGAAAUACCACCCUGGUGUCAUUGAGGUUCUAACCUGGAUCCAUUAUCUGGAUCGGGGACCGUGCAUGGCAGGCAGUUUGACUGGGGCGGUCUCCUCCCAAAGGGUAACGGAGGAGUUCGAAGGUUCGCUAGGUACGGUCGGACAUCGUACUGAUAGUGCAUUGGCAAAAGCGAGCUUGACUGCGAGACGGACAUGUCGAGCAGGUGCGAAAGCAGGACAAAGUGAUCCGGUGGUUCUGUAUGGAAGGGCCAUCGCUCAACGGAUAAAAGGUACGCUGGGGAUAACAGGCUGAUGACUCCCAAGAGUUCAUAUCGACGGAGUCGUUUGGCACCUCGAUGUCGGCUCAUCACAUCCUGGGGCUGUAGCCGGUCCCAAGGGUAUGGCUGUUCGCCAUUUAAAGUGGUACGUGAGCUGGGUUUAAAACGUCGUGAGACAGUUUGGUCCCUAUCUGCAGUGGGCGUUGGAGAUUUGACGGGGGCUGCUCCUAGUACGAGAGGACCGGAGUGGACGCACCUCUGGUGUACCGGUUGUGACGCCAGUCGCAUCGCCGGGUAGCUAUGUGCGGAAGAGAUAACCGCUGAAAGCAUCUAAGCGGGAAACUUGCCUGAAGAUGAGAUCUCCCGGAGGCUUGACCUCCCUGAAGGGUCGUGGAAGACCACCACGUUGAUAGGCCGGGUGUGGAAGCGCAGUAAUGCGUUAAGCUAACCGGUACUAAUUGCCCGUGCGGCUUGAUCC
rnacentral:rRNA from 1 species